rnacentral:sRNA from 1 species
UAUUCUGCCCCAUGGGGAAGGAUGAGAAGCUUCGACCAAGGUUCGACUCGAGCGAAACGAGAGAACGUUGCCGCAGGCAACGGCCCGAAGGGCGAGGCGCUUUAGCGCCGAGUAAUCCUUCCCCCACCACCA